AGCAGCCGCGGUAAUUCCAGCUCCAAUAGCGUAUAUUAAAGUUGUUGCAGUUAAAAAGCUCGUAGUUGAAUUUCGGGGUUAGUAGGUUGGUCAUGCCUCUGGUAUGUACUGGUCUCACUGAUUCCUCCUUCCUGAUGAACCUUAAUGCCAUUUAUUUGGUGCUUUGGGGAAUUUGGACUGUUACUUUGAAAAAAUUAGAGUGUUUAAAGCAAGCUAACGCUUGAAUACAUUAGCAUGGAAUAAUGAAAUAGGACGUUCGAUCCUAUUUUGUUGGUUUCUAGGAUUGACGUAAUGAUUAAUAGGGAUAGUUGGGGGCAUUAGUAUUCAAUUGUCAGAGGUGAAAUUCUUGGAUUUAUUGAAGACUAACUACUGCGAAAGCAUUUGCCAAGGAUGUUUUCAUUAAUCAAGAACGAAAGUUAGGGGAUCGAAGACGAUCAGAUACCGUCGUAGUCUUAACCAUAAACUAUGCCGACUAGGGAUCGGAUGAUGUUAACUUUUUAAUGACUCA
rnacentral:rRNA from 1 species